UGUGUGUGUGUGUGUGUGUGUGUGUGUGUGUGUGUGUGUGUUUUGUGUUUGCAUGCUGCAUUCAUGCGUAACUUUUUAUGCAAGCACGCAGUGAUUUUUAAAGGUUUCAAAACUAAUUACAUUUUUACUGGUGUCUAGUUAAAUCAAAUAUAUAUAUUUUUUAAUCUCUUCCAUUAGUGUGUUGUUAGUGUGUCUUUAGGGUGUAGUUAGUGUGUAGUUAGUGUGAAGUUAGUGUGUAGUUAGUGUGUAAUUAGUGUGUCGUUAGUCUGUAGUUAGUGUGUAGUUAGCGUGUAGUUAGUGUGUCAUUAGUGUGUAGUUAGUGUGUCAUUAGUGUGUAAUUAGUGUGUAGUUAGUGUGUAGUUAGUGUGAAAUUAGUGUGUAGAUAGUGUGUAAUUAGUGUGUAGUUAGCGUGUAGUUAGCGUGUAAUUAGUGUGUAGUUAGUGUGUCUUUAGUGUUUAGUGUGUAGUUAGUGUGUAGUUAGCGUGCAGUUAGCGUGUAAUUAGCGUGUAGUUAGCGUGACUUUAAUUUGAAUAUUUUGUGCAAUAAUAUGGAGUUAAUUGAUUUUAACAGCAUUCAUUUACAUAAAAUAGCCCAUAAUAUUAAAGUGGAAAGAAAAAUAUCGGUGUUUCGUAAAAAUGAUUUGCAUAAAAAAACUUAAAGGUUUUUCGUGAUUGCGUAAGUAUUCACCCCUAUUUCUGAAAUCCCUAAAAUUAGUUCUGGAAGAAACCGGUAGAUGCUGUGGAACGUCCCUGAAACAAGUUCUCCCUUACGUUAUAGCUAUGAACCGUCUUUAAAGUUACUAAGACAAAAAAAACAAAAAAAAAACAAUAAAAAACAACAAACAACAACACAGACUGUCAUGUUACUGAGUGUGUAAGUGCCGACACUGGAGACUCCUUCCGUAAAUGCUAAAUAAACACAAACCUUCACCACAUCAACAAUGUUUCAGUCUAUUGAUGUGGACCGUCCCUGAAUGAGCUGUUACUAUAGAAACGAUCAUGUAUCGGGACAAGCGCGUUGAUCAACAGUCAGAAUCAAGGAUUAAACAGCACUGUGGUAGGCUACAAAACACAACCUGAUCACAAUCAGACAAAUCAGAU
ensembl:lncRNA